ACACUCUCUCUCGAACUUGAACUUGCCAGAGAGAACUCAGGCACUGACUGUGACGACGCGGGUGGGGAGAGACUGUGCACCUACACGUGUCACUUCACAAAGGCCUCCAGAUUCCAACAAGUUGACAAACGGUGCAAAUGUCAGAGAUUAAAAUAUCUCCUUCAUUGCUGAUAAGGCUGAGUUGGCGAAUUCUUCUUGGAUCCAAUACAAAAAUGAGAUUGUUUCCAUUUCUCACCUGAAUUAAACUUACAGGGCAGAGGUGACCUGCUUAGUGAGCAGGCCACGUUCAGCAAUAGCAGAUCAAAGACCCGUAUGUCUUGUGAUCUUCAUGAAGUGGCUGGCAAGGCCAGAGAUUCUGAUCCCAUCACCACGUGUUAAUCUCCUGUCAAGAGAAAUAAGGAGCUACUGAGAGAAAAGCAGAUCCUGACUCCCCUCUACUUGUGAGUGACUACAAAAUCCUAUUUUGUGGCGUGAGGCAGGAGCCUAGAGAGAUUGGAGAAAAAAGCUGCUCCUCUAGAAUAUGAAAAUACCGUUUAAAGGGAAAGAGAUUAAUUAGUGAUUGAGCGCAUUCAGUGCUGUCUCUCCUCCUAUUUAUCUGGCUGCCUGUUGUCUGCAUGGCCUCCUGCUACUCAUUGUGGGUAACAUCGGAGACCUUCAUCUGCAGGAAGAUAGAAAAAGGGGCUUAUGAUCAGGCAAAGGAGACACCAGGAAAGAGGAGCAGAGUGGCUAGGGCAGUGCACUGCAGAUGCAUGGACGAAAGCUCGCAGCGACACAGGUAUGGGGUGUCUAA
rnacentral:lncRNA from 10 species